CUCGUAGGUGGCCAACUAAGUCAGACGUGAAAUCCCUCGGCUUAACCGGGGAACUGCGUCUGAUACUGGAUGGCUUGAGGUUGGGAGAGGGAUGCGGAAUUCCAGGUGUAGCGGUGAAAUGCGUAGAUAUCUGGAGGAACACCGGUGGCGAAGGCGGCAUCCUGGACCAAUUCUGACAGUGAGGAGCGAAAGCCAGGGAGCAAACG
rnacentral:rRNA from 1 species